rnacentral:rRNA from 1 species
UACGUAGGGUGCAAGCGUUGUCCGGAAUUAUUGGGCGUAAAGAGCUCGUAGGUGGUCUGUUGCGUCGGCUGUGAAAUCCCGAGGCUCAACCUCGGGCCUGCAGCCGAUACGGGCAGACUAGAGUUCGGCAGGGGAGACUGGAAUUCCUGGUGUAGCGGUGAAAUGCGCAGAUAUCAGGAGGAACACCUGUGGUGUAGACAGCUUACUGGACCACUUCUGACGCUGAGACACGAAAGCGUGGGUAGCAAACAGG